rnacentral:rRNA from 1 species
UACAGAGGGCAGCCAAGUCGUGAGGCGGAGCUAAUCCCUUAAAGCCAUUCUCAGUUCGGAUUGUAGGCUGAAACUCGCCUACAUGAAGCUGGAGUUACUAGUAAUCGCAGAUCAGAAUGCUGCGGUGAAUGCGUUCCCGGGUCUUGUACACACCGCCCGUCACACCACGGAAGUUGGGGGCGCCCGAAGCCACUUAGCUAACCCUUUUGGGAAGCGAGUGUCGAAGGUGAAAUCAAUAACUGGGGUGAAGUCGUAACAAGGUAUC